rnacentral:rRNA from 1 species
CAGUAGCCGCGGGAACACGAAGUGUGCAAGCGUUACUCGGAAUUACUGGGCGUAAAGCGUGCGUAGGUGGUGGUUUAAGUCCGUUGUGAAAGCCCUGGGCUCAACCUGGGAAUUGCAGUGGAUACUGGGUCACUAGAGUGUGGUAGAGGAUAGUGGAAUUUCCGGUGUAGCAGUGAAAUGCGUAGAGAUCGGAAGGAACAUCUGUGGCGAAGGCGACUAUCUGGGCCAACACUGACACUGGGGCACGAAAGCGUGGGGAACAAACAGGAUUAGAUACCCCCGUAGUCCCUGUCUCUUAUAA